rnacentral:rRNA from 1 species
AAACCAACAGGGAUUGCCUUAGUAACGGCGAGUGAAGCGGCAAGAGCUCAAAUUUGAAAGCGAUUUUUCGCAUUGUAAUUUGAAGGCCCGUGUCAACCUACAAUAUUCAAGUCCUUUGGAACAAGGCGCCAUUGAGGGUGAUAGCCCCGUGGAAUAUUAAAGGUGACUACGGCACGGAGCCAACGAGUCGAGUUGUUUGGGAAUGCAGCUCAAAGUGGGUGGUAAACUCCAUCUAAAGCUAAAUACCGGCGAGAGACCGAUAGCGAACAAGUACAGUAAUGGAAAGAUGAAAAGCACUUUGAAAAGAGAGUGAAACAGUACGUGAAAUUGUUGAAAGGGAAGGGCUUGCAAGCAGACACGGUUUACCGGGCCAGCAUCGGUAGGUAUAGAAUUAAAAGGGCUAAAACAUGUGGCGCAUUUUGCGUGUUAUAGUUUUGGUUGAUGAUUCUAUAUCUUCCGAGGCCAGCGAUUCAUGGAUGUUGGCGUAAUGGUUGCAAGCCGC